CGGGACACGUGGUAUCCUGUCUGAAUAUGGGGGGACCAUCCUCCAAGGCUAAAUACUCCUGACUGACCGAUAGUGAACCAGUACCGUGAGGGAAAGGCGAAAAGAACCCCGGCGAGGGGAGUGAAAAAGAACCUGAAACCGUGUACGUACAAGCAGUGGGAGCCUCUUAAUGGGGUGACUGCGUACCUUUUGUAUAAUGGGUCAGCGACUUAUAUUCUGUAGCAAGGUUAACCGAAUAGGGGAGCCGAAGGGAAACCGAGUCUUAACUGGGCGUUAAGUUGCAGGGUAUAGACCCGAAACCCGGUGAUCUAGCCAUGGGCAGGUUGAAGGUUGGGUAACACUAACUGGAGGACCGAACCGACUAAUGUUGAAAAAUUAGCGGAUGACUUGUGGCUGGGGGUGAAAGGCCAAUCAAACCGGGAGAUAGCUGGUUCUCCCCGAAAGCUAUUUAGGUAGCGCCUCGUGAAUUCAUCUCCGGGGGUAGAGCACUGUUUCGGCAAGGGGGUCAUCCCGACUUACCAACCCGAUGCAAACUGCGAAUACCGGAGAAUGUUAUCACGGGAGACACACGGCGGGUGCUAACGUCCGUCGUGAAGAGGGAAACAACCCAGACCGCCAGCUAAGGUCCCAAAGUCAUGGUUAAGUGGGAAACGAUGUGGGAAGGCCCAGACAGCCAGGAUGUUGGCUUAGAAGCAGCCAUCAUUUAAAGAAAGCGUAAUAGCUCACUGGUCGAGUCGGCCUGCGCGGAAGAUGUAACGGGGCUAAACCAUGCACCGAAGCUGCGGCAGCGACACUAUGUGUUGUUGGGUAGGGGAGCGUUCUGUAAGCCUGUGAAGGUGGCCUGUGAGGGUUGCUGGAGGUAUCAGAAGUGCGAAUGCUGACAUAAGUAACGAUAAAGCGGGUGAAAAGCCCGCUCGCCGGAAGACCAAGGGUUCCUGUCCAACGUUAAUCGGGGCAGGGUGAGUCGACCCCUAAGGCGAGGCCGAAAGGCGUAGUCGAUGGGAAACAGGUUAAUAUUCCUGUACUUGGUGUUACUGCGAAGGGGGGACGGAGAAGGCUAUGUUGGCCGGGCGACGGUUGUCCCGGUUUAAGCGUGUAGGCUGGUUUUCCAGGCAAAUCCGGAAAAUCAAGGCUGAGGCGUGAUGACGAGGCACUACGGUGCUGAAGCGACAAAUGCCCUGCUUCCAGGAAAAGCCUCUAAGCAUCAGGUAACAUUAAAUCGUACCCCAAACCGACACAGGUGGUCAGGUAGAGAAUACCAAGGCGCUUGAGAGAACUCGGGUGAAGGAACUAGGCAAAAUGGUGCCGUAACUUCGGGAGAAGGCACGCUGAUAUGUAGGUGAAGCGACUUGCUCGUGGAGCUGAAAUCAGUCGAAGAUACCAGCUGGCUGCAACUGUUUAUUAAAAACACAGCACUGUGCAAACACGAAAGUGGACGUAUACGGUGUGACGCCUGCCCGGUGCCGGAAGGUUAAUUGAUGGGGUUA
rnacentral:rRNA from 1 species